AACGAACGCUGGCGGCAUGCCUAAACACAUGCAAGUCGAACGAGACCUUCGGGUCUAGUGGCGCACGGGUGCGUAACACGUGGGAAUCUGCCCUUUGGUUCGGAAUAACAGAGAGAAAUUUCUGCUAAUACCGGAUGACGACGAAAGUCCAAAGAUUUAUCGCCGAAGGAUGAGCCCGCGUAGGAUUAGGUAGUUGGUGGGGUAAUGGCCUACCAAGCCGACGAUCCUUAGCUGGUCUGAGAGGAUGAUCAGCCACACUGGGACUGAGACACGGCCCAGACUCCUACGGGAGGCAGCAGUGGGGAAUAUUGGACAAUGGGCGCAAGCCUGAUCCAGCAAUGCCGCGUGAGUGAUGAAGGCCUUAGGGUUGUAAAGCUCUUUUACCCGGGAUGAUAAUGACAGUACCGGGAGAAUAAGCUCCGGCUAACUCCGUG
rnacentral:rRNA from 1 species